rnacentral:lncRNA from 1 species
AGAAGGGCGGAUGCCACAGCUCAAAUUUUCUCCACCCUUCCCUCUCCCUGGGCUACCACCCCAGAGCCCCCUCUCGGGCUGGCCUGGACAGCAGGCCAGGGUCCACCCAGGCCGGGUGGGCUCGGCAGCUCUCCUCCCUCCUCGGGCCUCCUGGAGCGCGCAGCCCCUCCCCCGCCUCAUCACAGCAGCCAGGGCGAAGGCUGGAUGAGCGCUUUCCCCCAGGACUCCAUUCCCACGGCGGACACGGCUCAGCUGCAGGAGGCCGAGCGUUGGCCCCGCUGUGGGCUAAGCGUGGGGACAGCUCAGCUGUCUCCAUUUCAUGUCCGGAGACGCGAAGGCAGAGGAAUCUCUCCGCAGGCGCUUCAGGGCGCGGGUGGCUUCCCCAAGCUCUGGUCCCCUCCCGGCUCCUGGUCAGUUUCCUCGCCUUCCCACUGCCCUCCGACUUGGCCAGGUCCUCGCCGAGAGCCGUCCCCUCAGGGUGCACGUCCGACUCCAGGGCCCACCGCGCAGGGGAGGCCGAGGGGCCAGCGGGCGGCCGGCUCCUCAGACGCGGUGGUCAUCCGCCCGCAGCGCUGCACACCCGAGAUAGCGAGCGCUGGCCUACGCGGGAACCUGGGCGGGCCCGCAGCCAGCUUCCAGAGCUGGGGACAAGGAGGGAAUAGAGUCUGCGGAGUCUCAGAGCCGGGAGGGUGCUGGAAGGUUCUGGAAGGGAGUGGACAGGUGGUGUGCGAGGCCCAUCUCCCGCCUGGUCCCCACCCCCCCACCCCCACUUUAACCUGGCCUGGCCGCCUGGAGCGGGCCCGCCAUGUUCUCCAGGUCCCACACAGGGUCCCUCAGGCGGUGUGGCCUGUCUCGGCCCCGCCUGACAUUAGGAGCCCCACAGAAGCCCCCCCACCAUCCUCAUGUCCUGGGAGGGGGAGGGGGCGGAGCCUUCUACGUGGCAGGAGAGGGUGGGGUGGCCUCCAGAGGCAGGGUGCCAGGUCCAGCUUCCCAGACAGCGCCCUCCCCUCCCCUGGGGCUCCAGGAGUCUGAG